rnacentral:rRNA from 1 species
UACAGAGGUCUCAACCGUUGUUCGGAUUCAUUGGGCGUAAAGGGUGCGUAGGUGGCAUGGUAAGUCGGGUGUGAAAUCCCGGGGCUCAACCCCGGAACUGCACUCGAUACUGCCGUGCUCGAGUACUGGAGAGGAGACUGGAAUUUACGGUGUAGCAGUGAAAUGCGUAGAUAUCGUAAGGAAGACCGGUGGCGAAGGCUAGUCUCUGGACAGUUACUGACACUGAGGCACGAAGGCCAGGGGAGCAAACGGG